GACGAACGCUGGCGGCGCGCCUAACACAUGCAAGUCGAACGGAGCUGCGAGAAGCUUGCUUUUCUUAGCUUAGUGGCGAACGGGUGAGUAACGCGUGUGUAACCUGCCCUGGAGUGGGGGACAACAGUUGGAAACGACUGCUAAUACCGCAUAAGCCCACGAUCCGGCAUCGGAUUGAGGGAAAAGGAUUUAUUCGCUUCAGGAUGGACUCGCGUCCAAUUAGCUAGUUGGUGAGGUAACGGCCAACCAAGGCGACGAUUGGUAGCCGGACUGAGAGGUUGAACGGCCACAUUGGGACUGAGACACGGCCCAGACUCCUACGGAAGGGAGCAGUGGGGGAUAUUGCACAAGGGGGGAAACCCUGAUGCAGCGGCGCCGCGUGGAGGGAGAAGGUGUUCGGAUUGUAAACUCCUGUCGUUAGGGACGAUAAUGACGGUACCUAACAAGAAAGCACCGGCUAACUACGUG
rnacentral:rRNA from 1 species